rnacentral:rRNA from 1 species
GACGAACGCUGGCGGCGUGCUUAACACAUGCAAGUCGAACGGAAAGGCCCUGCUUUUGUGGGGUGCUCGAGUGGCGAACGGGUGAGUAACACGUGAGUAACCUGCCCUUGACUUUGGGAUAACUUCAGGAAAUUGGGGCUAAUACCGGAUAGGAGCUCCUGCUGCAUGGUGGGGGUUGGAAAGUUUCGGCGGUUGGGGAUGGACUCGCGGCUUAUCAGCUUGUUGGUGGGGUAGUGGCUUACCAAGGCUUUGACGGGUAGCCGGCCUGAGAGGGUGACCGGCCACAUUGGGACUGAGAGACGGCCCAGACUCCUACGGGAGGCAGCAGUGGGGAAUAUUGCACAAUGGGCGGAAGCCUGAUGCAGCAACGCCGCGUGCGGGAUGACGGCCUUCGGGUUGUAAACCGCUUUCGCCUGUGACGAAGCGUGAGUGACGGUAAUGGGUAAAGAAGCACCGGCUAACUACGUG